rnacentral:rRNA from 1 species
GGAUUAGAUACCCGGGUAGUCCACGCCCUAAACGAUGUCAACUAGCUGUUGGGGCCUUCGGGCCUUGGUAGCGCAGCUAACGCGUGAAGUUGACCGCCUGGGGAGUACGGUCGCAAGAUUAAAACUCAAAGGAAUUGACGGGGACCCGCACAAGCGGUGGAUGAUGUGGAUUAAUUCGAUGCAACGCGAAAAACCUUACCUACCCUUGACAUGUCUGGAAUGCCGAAGAGAUUUGGCAGUGCUCGCAAGAGAACCGGAACACAGGUGCUGCAUGGCUGUCGUCAGCUCGUGUCGUGAGAUGUUGGGUUAAGUCCCGCAACGAGCGCAACCCUUGUCAUUAGUUGCUACGAAAGGGCACUCUAAUGAGACUGCCGGUGACAAACCGGAGGAAGGU